rnacentral:rRNA from 1 species
UACGUAGGGAGCAAGCGUUGUCCGGAAUUAUUGGGCGUAAAGAGCUCGUAGGCGGUUUGUUGCGUCUGCUGUGAAAACUCAGGGCUUAACCCUGAGCUUGCAGUGGGUACGGGCAGACUAGAGUGCGGUAGGGAAGACUGGAAUUCCUGGUGUAGCGGUGAAAUGCGCAGAUAUCAGGAGGAACACCGGUGGCGAAGGCGGGUCUCUGGGCAGUAACUGACGCUGAGAAGCGAAAGCGUGGGGAGCGAACAGG